rnacentral:rRNA from 1 species
AUUGAACGCUGGCGGCAUGCCUAACACAUGCAAGUCGAGCGAGCGGCGGACGGGUGAGUAAUGUAUGGGGACUGCCCGAUAGAGGGGGAUAACUACUGGAAACGGUGGCUAAUACCGCAUACUAUCGGAGUACCCAUAUGGGAUUGGCUAGUAGGGGGGGUAAAGGCUCACCUAGGCGACGAUCCCUAGCUGGUCUGAGAGGAUGACCAGCCACACUGGGACUGAGACACGGCCCAGACUCCGACGGAGGCAGCAGUGGGGAAUAUUGCACAAUGGGCGAAAGCCUGAUGCAGCCAUGCCGCGUGUAUGAAGAAGGCCUUAGGGUUGUAAAGUACUUUCAGCAGGGAGGCGUUACCCGCAGAAGAAGCACCGGCUAACUCCGUGCCAGCAGCCGCGGUAAUAC